rnacentral:rRNA from 1 species
UACAGAGGUCCCAAGCGUUGUUCGGAUUCAUUGGGCGUAAAGGGUGCGUAGGUGGCGGGGUAAGUCGGGUGUGAAAUCUCGGAGCUUAACUCCGAAACUGCAUUCGAUACUGCCGUGCUUGAGGACUGGAGAGGAGACUGGAAUUUACGGUGUAGCGGUGAAAUGCGUAGAUAUCGUAAGGAAGACCAGUGGCGAAGGCGGGUCUCUGGACAGUUCCUGACGCUGAGGCACGAAGGUCAGGGGAGCAAACGGG